GAUCCUGGCUCAGGAUGAACGCUGGCGGCGUGCCUAACACAUGCAAGUCGAGCGAUUUACUUCGGUAAAGAGCGGCGGACGGGUGAGUAACGCGUGGGUAACCUGCCCUGUACACACGGAUAACAUACCGAAAGGUAUGCUAAUACGAGAUAAAAUACUUUUAUCGCAUGGUAGAAGUAUCAAAGCUUUUGCGGUACAGGAUGGACCCGCGUCUGAUUAGCUAGUUGGUAAGGUAACGGCUUACCAAGGCGACGAUCAGUAGCCGACCUGAGAGGGUGAUCGGCCACAUUGGAACUGAGACACGGUCCAAACUCCUACGGGAGGCAGCAGUGGGGAAUAUUGCACAAUGGGCGAAAGCCUGAUGCAGCAACGCCGCGUGAGCGAUGAAGGCCUUCGGGUCGUAAAGCUCUGUCCUCAAGGAAGAUAAUGACGGUACUUGAGGAGGAAGCCCCGGCUAACUACGUGCCAGCAGCCGCGGUAAUACGUAGGGGGCUAGCGUUAUCCGGAAUUACUGGGCGUAAAGGGUGCGUAGGUGGUUUCUUAAGUCAGAGGUGAAAGGCUACGGCUCAACCGUAGUAAGCCUUUGAAACUGGGGAACUUGAGUGCAGGAGAGGAGAGUGGAAUUCCUAGUGUAGCGGUGAAAUGCGUAGAUAUUAGGAGGAACACCAGUUGCGAAGGCGGCUCUCUGGACUGUAACUGACACUGAGGCACGAAAGCGUGGGGAGCAAACAGGAUUAGAUACCCUGGUAGUCCACGCCGUAAACG
rnacentral:rRNA from 1 species